GGAAUCUUCGGCAAUGGACGAAAGUCUGACCGAGCAACGCCGCGUGAGUGAAGAAGGUUUUCGGAUCGUAAAACUCUGUUGGUAGAGAAGAACGUUGGUGAGAGUGGGAAGCUCAUCAAGUGACGGUAACUACCCAGAAAGGGACGGCUAACUACGUGCCAG
rnacentral:rRNA from 1 species